CUGUGUACUGCAAUCAAUGAAAUCGGACCUUGACUACAUCUUUCUGAAGCUGAGGUAUGCAACUAUGAAAGUACUCUAAUUUUUUUAUUUCUUUGUUUCUUUUUUAUGUGGUCCAUCAAAAGAAACAACCUUGUUAUGGAAUCCAAUCAUGAGAAUUCAGGUAAAAUGUAGUUUCUUUGUAACAUUAUGUUGGCAUUGACUUGCUUUGAAUCCCCCGCACAACAUAUGAACGAGAAGAUUUAAUUCCAUAUAAAAUCUUUGAAAUUUUUGGGUACGAUGACUGGAUGAAGCUUUAAAACUUUCACGGGAUUCGCAGCAAUGUAAUUAAUUUAAUCGCAAAAUAUGUUGAAGUUGAAACUUUCAAUUAGUAUGCGUCCUCAUAGAUUUUUGAGCUACACUACUUAAAUCAGGACAGUUUUGGCUUGAUGGAAGCCGAAAUGGUCUCACUGGAGGUAUGCGUAGUAGUUGGUUGGGUCUGUGACCGUCUUAGUUUGUUCAUUGAUCUGACAAGCCUUAGAUAUAAUAGGCUUUUUAUCUUGCAAACUUGAUUUUCAUUCAGUUUAAAGCCUAAUAUGUGUGACAAUCUUCAUUGACAAGGGAUAUUCCGUGGCUUUUCUCAUGGCAAAUGCAAUUAUGACUUGCCAGAUAAGAGUUAUUCAUACAAAUAUAUGGAUAGAAAUUUUAGCAUUAUGUGCCCCGGAACAUAACUCAAUGGUACAAAGAAAAGGAGUGAGGUAGUCUCAACCUUGUUGGUAGUCGCAGUGCGAGGGUUCGAUCCCUGAAAUAUGGAAUUAGACUAUUUGUAAGCACCAGUGUACGGGCAAGCUCUUGUUACCUGGCCUGUUGGAGCACAUCGCCCCGAUUUACAUCCCUCACGAUGCUCCAAGGAUGAGGCGGUGGAGGUCCUCAAGGUUGGGGUUCUACAUUUUUACAAAUUUUAGCAUUAUGUCAUAAGCUAGGAAGGAAGAAAAUCAAUCGACUGAAACAUGAUUUAGAGAUAACAAUCAUUUAAGAAGUUAAACGGUCUGUUGUGUCAAUCCUUUAACCGGUAUGUUCUUGUCUCUUGCUGUAUUAUCAUACUUCUGGUAAAACGAAUUUUGUAUUUUCCCUCAACUUAUUUGUCACCAGAUUUCUAAUUAAACUUUCAUUUUGGUGAUUAAAAAUGUGGUGUUUGUUAUGAAUUGUCAGAACAUUAAGGCAAAGAUCUUAUCGACCUACCCAGAUGCUUUUCCAGAUUAUUCUACCGUAGAAGCACUCGAUCGAAGACCAGACCUUGAGCUGCCUCAGUGACUCCGGCGCUGGACAUAUCUCAGAUUUUUUUAAUUAUUUUUUUCCUUUUAUUCGAUUAAUCUCUAU
rnacentral:lncRNA from 1 species